AGAGUUUGAUCAUGGCUCAGAAUCAACGCUGGCGGGCGCCUAACACAUGCAAGUCGAACGAGAAAGCAGGAGCAAUCUUGUGAGUAAAGUGGCGUACGGGUGAGUAACACGUGGAUCAUCUACCCUCUUGUGGGGGAUAACCCUGGGAAACCGGGGCUAAUACCGCAUAAGUCCGAGAGGAGAAAGCAGCAAUGCGCAGGAGGAGGAGUCCGCGGCCGAUUAGCUAGUUGGUAGGGUAAAAGCCUACCAAGGCAACGAUCGGUAGCCGGCCUGAGAGGGCACACGGCCACACUGGCACUGAAACACGGGCCAGACUCCUACGGGAGGCAGCAGUGGGGAAUCUUGCACAAUGGGGGCAACCCUGAUGCAGCGACGCCGCGUGAGCGAUGAAGCCCUUCGGGGUGUAAAGCUCUUUCGGCAGGGAAGAUUAUGACGGUACCUGCAGAAGCAGCUGCGGCUAACUACGUGCCAGCAGCCGCGGUAAUACGUAGGCAGCAAGCGUUGUUCGGAGUUACUGGGCGUAAAGGGUGUGUAGGCGGUCUUCUAAGUUUGGUGUGAAAUCUCCCGGCUCAACUGGGAGGGUGCGCCGAAAACUGGGAGGCUAGAGUGCGGGAUGGGAGAGUGGAAUUCCUGGUGUAGCGGUGAAAUGCGUAGAUAUCAGGAGGNNNNNCCUGUGGUGUAGACGGCUCUCUGGACCGCAACUGACGCUGAGACACGAAAGCGUGGGUAGCAAACAGGAUUAGAUACCCUAGUAGUCC
rnacentral:rRNA from 1 species